GUUGACGCUAUGCAGAAAAAUAUAGCCUGGUGAGGAGAUGGUGAAUGAUACAAGGAUUAGCACCUGAAGGAAACAGGGUGGGCUGUCAACCUGGCCAGAGAGGUGAUGGCAGUGAUGUUGUCCUGAGGACUGAUUGCUAUGCCCAGAUGAUCUGUUGAAGUUGGCUGCCUGAUCCAACAUACAGCAUAAUUGAAGAGGACAAGGAACAGAAUCCAUUCCCGUUUCACCCCAGUAACUACGCCAAAUUCAACAGAGAGCUCUCCAUAUGGUCUAACACAAGUGAGAAUGUGGUUUCUGGAUGAAAAACAGAACAGACUGACCCUCUGGCCACAGC